rnacentral:tRNA from 1 species
GAGGAUGUAGUCUAAAAUAAGGCAUAAGCUUGUGGUGCUUUUAAUCCGUACUUCGGCGUCCUCU